GAGGGCGGUUACCUAGGCAAUAGCUUCCCCCUAACUCCGCCCCGCCCCCACCAGCCCAGCCAAUCCGAUUGCGGCUUUCAACAGCCGCCUGGGUUGGCUUCCCGCUGGCUCGUGCUGAGAGCGCAGUGUUCCUGGAAAUGGCUGGAUAAGUGCCAAGUCCAAUGUUGAGUAAUAGUCUUACAGCUAUUCUCUGACACCUGACCUGGCCACAACACUGUAAUUGUUUCCUGAGCAGAAACAAGAGGAUACUCGUGAACUAACAAUGCAUAAUGUUAGGUUUGGCAAAAUUGUAGCAGAAUGUUUGCUCCACUCCAAGAUUUUGGGAAGAAUGAGGAACUUCAAUCCCAACUCUCUCCAGUUAACCUAGCCACUGCUUUACCAAGAGAACUGAGAAGGGAAAAGGAACUGCUUUACCAGGAAAAGGCACUAACACACAAGAACAGAAUGCAAGAGACAUAAAGGAAACACCUAAAGGAAAACAUCAGUGUGCAAAAACAGGACAUUGCUAGAAACAAGGGGUGAACUAAUUAAAAAGGAGCCUGAAACAAAGGUUUUCCCCUUCAAAGGUGCUCUGCAAGUGAUUUUUAACUGAACAUGUUCCCUUUACUUCCUAUGAUACAUAAAGAACUUAGAAAACUGUUUCCUGUAUUAAAGAUUGUUCUGUUCAUUAUCUUAAAUGCCAGGAAUGUCAACUCUACUCUUCCCUAGUUUUGCUGCAAGAUCCACUUGUUAUCUCAAAGAAUAUACAUUGUUAACUCUUACUCCCUACCUUAACUGAUAGAAGAUGGUGAAUCUUUACUGUUUUGGAAAAAGAAUAUCAUUAGUGAUUCAAGUUAAAAAGGCGUUAACAAUAACAAAAAAAUUUAAACAGUCAUCAGACCUAUUUCCUGUUAUUUGUUUAAAUGUUAUUUCAAUCUUGGCCUACAUUUUCCAAACAUGGGUGCCUGAAGUUAGGUGCCAAAAACCAUAUUUAGGCUCCUAAAAUAAAAAGUGGUGAUAGGUACUACAGCUCCUAGUGACUUCAGUAUGUGAAGAGAGAAUAUUCAUGAAACCUACAGAAGAAUUCUGUGUAUGAGGUCAAAAUAUUGCAACACAUGGAAUAUUGCAACAGUUUGUAAUUGAUGUGAUAAAGAAGUAGCUGGAUAUGGGUAGGAGGCUAUUACAUCAAAUUCAACACAGAACACAGGCUAUAAACAAAAGAGAUCAUACUGGAUUAUUUCCUUCUGUAUAAUAAUUUUAAAACAA